UCAGUUUGGGAUGUUCCUCAGACAUGCCUUUCAGAUGCAGCCAAUAGAAACAUGUUCACACUAUUCUAAUGACAGCACAUAUAAAAUAAUGUGGAUGAACGUCUGAAACAGUGUGUGCUUUAAUAUGUUCUGUCUUGUCCUGUUUACUUCCAUUAUGAGUGCCAUACUGUAACCAUGUUUCUUUCCUGAGAGUUUGACGUGUGGGGGAACGUGGCAGAGGACAGGCACCACUUCUGAGAGGUGGUCGUGGGCCUCGUUUGAGAGCAACAGCAUAGAGUGUCCAAUGAAAUUCGGGCAAUAGUUGUAGACCAUGUCAUAAAUCAUGGCAUGAAAAUGACUGAGGCGGCAACAAUGAUACAACCAAACCUCAGAAGGUCAACCGUGGACUCAAUAAACAGAACUUUCUGCAAUGAGAACCGGUAAGUUAUCAGCAUGCACUAAACUUUAUGCUACUCUCA